UACAGAGGUGCCAAGCGUUGUUCGGAUUUACUGGGCGUAAAGGGUGCGUAGGCGGUCAUGCAAGUCGGCUGUGAAAUACCGGAGCCUAACUCCGGAACGGCAUCCGAAACUGCAUGGCUAGAGGUCUGGAGAGGUGACUGGAAUUCUCGGUGUAGCAGUGAAAUGCGUAGAUAUCGAGAGGAACGCCAGAGGCGAAAGCGGGUCACUGGACAGAAUCUGACGCUGAGGCACGAAAGCCAGGGGAG
rnacentral:rRNA from 1 species